rnacentral:lncRNA from 1 species
GAAAUGUUUCAUUUGUUGUAGUUUAUAUGUGCUAUGCACAUGUGUUUGCAGCAGCACAUGCAGGUUUAUGAUACACCUGCUUUUGCUUUUUCCUUAGGGAACAAUGUUUUUACCUUCUUUCAAGUAGAACUCUAAAGUGACAGAAGAUACCAUCCUAACCUCCCGGGAAGCAAAUACAAGAGAAUAACAGAAGUCUGCGCACCCUGACUGUGCUCAAUCAAGUUUUCUUUUCUAUGGUUCCUGACUCAAAACUGAUACAGCAAAUCCUGAUCUGCCCCCUGGGAAACACGGAAAAAUUUCACCACCAGCUUCACCCAAGACAAGAAUUCAUCAUAAAGAAAUUUCACAAUCAGAUCUGCAGCUGUUGUGCAUCCCCGUACAGGUAGAUCUCUUCACACUUUGAUCAGUUUAAUAUGGAGAGAGUAUUGUUGGUCUGCAUUUUCUGAACCUUAUUGAUAUUUGUGGUUUUACUCUUUGAGAUAGGAGAAUGUGGAAUCUUUUGACAAAAUGACAAGGAAAGAGAAAAUCAUGCAGCUUGAGUAUGUCUGUGCAUUGCUGCAUUGUUGGACUCGCUUUUUAAAAUUAGUUUUUCAGUUCUUCUCAAAAGUGCUGGAGUAAAAGAUGAAUGUCAGUAUUCAGCAGUCACAGGACAGAAGCGGUCCAGAGCCUGUGCCCGCUCCUUGCUGACAAGGCCUGUAACGGGAGCACCACGAUGGUUUUGUACCAAGAAUUUCACAGAAGGAAAGUAAGCUGUUCUGUGUUCUCAUUUAUUAGACAGAGAGAGAACUGAAGAGUAACCUUUAUGGAACUCACAUGGCACCUGAAUAAUUUGCAUUUAGAAAGGAUGUUCCUUUCAUGUUCAAUUGGUUUAUUGAAUCUGUGUUAGACUUCUGUAAAUGCUGCACAGCUUUUGCAUCUCCAGUACUUUUCCUAAAUGAAAGACUAACCUUUGGAGUCUGGCUUGGUAUAUUACAUUUAUGUUUAGUCUAAAAGAGGUAAUGAAAGUCAUUGAACUGAAUGGCACAAAUUCCCUUGGUCCUUGAGAAGCAGCUUUAACAACAGUCUCACUUGGAUGUUCAGAGUGACAGGAAUUAACAUCAUUCCUAUCCAUCGGAACAUACUUCUGCUUGAAACAACCCUCACAAAUUCAUGUUUCAGUAAUUCUGUAAGGGCAGACUGUAGUGCCAAAGGAGGAAAAACUGAGUACGUUUCUCAUUCCCAAGAGAAAUUAAAAAGGAGGCAAGUGCUUUGAGUGGUUAGCAAGUCUCUUCGUGCUGAUUAUAGUGGCCUGCCAUCAAGAACCUUGAAACAAAACUCAUGUUACUGAACAGAAAUAUUUUGAAAAUGAGUGUGCUAAGGAGCUAUGGGCUUGGUGUGACUGUGAUCUGAGCUUGUUUUUUUUUAACCUCUAGUUGUAUGGGUUACGUUUACAGUAAAUUCUUCUGGCAGAUAGUGGUCAUGAGAAGUUUUACCCUGCAGGUCAGAAAGAAAGCUGUACCAGAAGUAUAGGAGAUACUGAGCUAGGUGGGAGGGACUUCUUUAACACAUCCACCUCAGCCCCUUUCCAUUUCAGUGAUGUUGUGUAGAUCUCUCGGUAUCUUUUUGUACAAAAGCAACAUCUCUUUGAAAUCAGACGUAAAUCUAUCUUGUGAAUUACAUGUAGAAAGUGCUUUGUGGAAAAACACCUGGAAUCACUAAUAGGCAUUCUAGCUUUAAUAUUCUACUUAAUAUUCCCAGCAUUAGACACUCUUAAGUAGCAUUUCUGAGUUUACCCGUAACAACUUGUUUGUGCUAAGGUAGGGUGGCAGUUUAGCUGUGACUCUGCAAAGCGGAAAAAAAGCUGAUGUCUGUGAACUCUGCACCCACACUCUCUUUAUGGGAACUUUGCAAUAGCUGUGCAAUUGCUUUCUUGAGCCAGGGCCUGGAAUCUCCUGAGUUACUCUGAACAUACACUAGCUUUGGUUAUUGGUGUCCCGGUUCACAACUGGGUUGUUUCCUACCCUGCCCUGCAUAUCUCCUUGCCAAGCAAUCUGGACAGUUUGUAAACACUGCAUUGGCAGAAAAGUUAUGGAUUCAAUCCUGUGUUCUGUGCAGCUGGUUAACUGUUUUGUAAGACUGUAAGACUGAGAAAUCGUCCCAUCCCAGUGAAAAAUAAUCUUAUCUCAGUCAUCGUCAGCUCAUGGUUGGGGUGGGGCAAGAGUAAUAUGACAACAUGCGCAGCAGUAACUUUGGCAUUUAAGACUCAUAAGUAACAUGAAACAGUGCUGUGUGCUCUCAGAGACAAAGGGUUCUGCCUCUUUGCCUUCUCUUCCUUGUUGUGCCUUUCCAAAAAAUAACAAAUCAUACUCAGUAUCCUGCUUUAUUUUCUGUAGGCGCUCAAAAAAUGAGACUUGGGGUGUUUAAGGGAUCUCAUAAAGCUCAGAAAUCAAAGAUGGAUCAUCUAGAACAGUGGGUCUUCCCAUUGUUCCCAUUUUUCUUCUGUUUCAAGCUACAUAAAAGGAACAUUCCUGUUGUGUGCUCUACUAUAAGGACCUGUAUUUAUGUCCACGCUUGUGUAAAGCCAAGUAAAAAUUCUGGAAGAAAGCAAGCUGACUUCUUCCUUCCCAGCUCCAUGCAGAGAAAAUCUUAGAAGGGCAAAAAUAGCAAUUGUGGUGCUUUAUGCAUGCCUGGGACAUGGUCAGGAAACAAUAUAGAAACAC